UUUUUCCAUUACAUAAAGAAUUUGUAACUGAAGGAAAUGUCUUGUGUUGUGGUUGCGACAAUUAAGAUUGUGCAAGAAGAGUAUGGUUGGUUUUAUGUUGCCUGUCGUAAGUGUUUCAAGAAGGUGAUGGGUAAAAGUGAAUACUUGCAGAAUGUUGAGAAUGUUUCAGAUGAUAUUCUUCGAUUGCCUGCGACUUCUUUGGUUUGUAUCAGAUGUCAUACUGAAUGUACAUCGAUCACCACAAAGUUCAAGGUGCAAGUGCGGGUGCAGGAUGAGAGUGGUAGUGUUUCUUUUGUUAUGUUUGAUAGAGAUGUUCAGAAGCUUCUUGGAUUAGCGGCGAGUGACAUAAGAGAGAGGCAGG